AUAAGAAAGACAAAGA
rnacentral:sRNA from 1 species